GAUGAACGCUGGCGGCGUGCCUAAUACAUGCAAGUCGAGCGAACAGACGAGGAGCUUGCUCCUCUGACGUUAGCGGCGGACGGGUGAGUAACACGUAGAUAACCUACCUAUAAGACUGGGAUAACUUCGGGAAACCGGAGCUAAUACCGGAUAAUAUAUUGAACCGCAUGGUUCAAUAGUGAAAGACGGUUUUGCUGUCACUUAUAGAUGGAUCCGCGCCGCAUUAGCUAGUUGGUAAGGUAACGGCUUACCAAGGCAACGAUGCGUAGCCGACCUGAGAGGGUGAUAGGCCACACUGGAACUGAGACACGGUCCAGACUCCUACGGGAGGCAGCAGUAGGGAAUCUUCCGCAAUGGGCGAAAGCCUGACGGAGCAACGCCGCGUGAGUGAUGAAGGUCUUCGGAUCGUAAAACUCUGUUAUUAGGGAAGAACAAAUGUGUAAGUAACUAUGCACGUCUUGACGGUACCUAAUCAGAAAGCCACGGCUAACUACGUG
rnacentral:rRNA from 1 species